AAUAAGAUGAAAGCAAAGCCUUUUGUUAUAAAACAAAUGCAAAGAAGCAAUAUAUUAAAAAAUAAAUUAUGAUAGUGCAUAUCCUGCAAAACCUUAUUUAUUUACACUGUUAUUAAAUCCUGAAGGUCGUGCCCAACAAUUAUAUAACGAGUCACAAAUUCGAACAAGGACCGUAGUAGAACAACAUUUGGUAUUUGGAAACGUAGAUUUCCAAUAUUAGCAUAUGGAAGUCGUUUAAAGGUCAAAA